AUGGCGGAGGCGGCAAGAACGCCUUUUCGGCUUUAGAAGGCGACGAAGCCGACGCCGAAAAUUUACUCGUCGUCGUCUCCACCGCAAAGGCGAAGAAAAGGAAUGACAGUAACCACUUGUCGUCUUCUCUCAAUCGUGACUUCUAUUCUAUGCAUAUCAUUGCAAAGAAGAGUGAAGAAGAACCCAAUUUUAUCUCUUCUGGUGACAAGCUGAAGAAGACGAUUCGUUCGUCUUCCUCAUCUUCAUGUUCGUUUAAGGCCAAAAAGAUUAUGCUGCCGCAACCACCACGGAGGCGUCCUAGACGAGAAAAUGGUUCUAGAAACCAACCCGAUGCCUCUCCGAGAGUCGGAACUGUUGUUAUUUUGCCGCCACCUUCUUUUGAAGAUGUCGAACAGUUUCCAGCUCUUGCUUGAUUGCUAUUGUAUUGAGCUUUUUUGGUAGGGAAGUGUUUAGCAUAAAUUCAACAUCAUUUUGGUGGAUAUUGUUGGC